GCUAAAUUUAGAAAGCAUGUUUAUUUUUCGCCAGCAUCUGGUCUUAAGACGUCCCGUUCUCGAUCACAACUCAAGACAACGUGCAGGGUCGGAUCUCAGCCCUCCCGGCUCCUGCUUCCCACACACAGAGCCCGAGUCUGGGGCAGCCCUGGGCCGACCUGGCCAGCACUGGCAUGGGUGGUAGCCAGGCGUCUCCCAAGGGCACAGGAGGAGGGCUGGGUGACCUGGCCCCCAGCCAGGCAGGGCAGAUCCACCUGCCCCAAGACCCCCGGACACUGGCUGUGCCCAGGUGGUGCCGACCAGGGGAGGGUGGGCAUGCUGGGAGCGCCGUCUGCCGCGGACCGAAGGUCUUUACAGGCACUGCCGGCCCUUAAGAAUCAUUGAUUCCCGAUACCACUUUUUCUCUGAGUGGGGAAUGGAGGUGCAGAGAGAGGAAGGCAGCUGCCCAAGGUCCCCGGAGACCAGGUAUCCUGCCCCCAUGGGCCUCUCUCAUCAGCGGAGGUGGGUGUCUCCAUCUAGGUGUGAGCUGGGUCAGGGCUGAGAGACAUGGCCAUCUGUAAGGCCAGCCUGGACCCCUGGGCAGGGCAGCCCACAUCUGGACAAGUGAGGUGGAAAUGCUUGAUGCCCUGUGAACAUGUCAAGUGCCCCAGCUGCCCCAGGGCCAACCCACUGGGGCCCUCAAGGCCUGGGACCUGCAGUGGAGAUGCCCAUGGGAUAGGGAAGGGUGGGAGGCUGGCAGGAGGUGGUGGGCUGCUCCCAGCCUGAAUGGUCCAAGGCCAGCUGGGGCGAAGAUAGUCGUCUGGGUCCUGCAGUCAGCAGCCACGGCACGCAAUCAAAUGGAUGUGGUGGCCAGUGGGCCAGGGAGGAGGUGGGGCUGGUGGUGGGGUUCAGGGCUCAGAGAGGGGCUGGGCAGGGGUCUCACCUGGCCAAGCGAGGGGUGGCCGGAGGUGCCCCCUCCUGGGCCCCAGGGAGGGGCGGGAUGGGGUGGAGGAGCACGGCCCCCUCUCCAUCCUCCCUGUGGGCACCUCAACCCCCCACCAGCAUCCCAGCACGCCUCCUCACAGAACACAGGGCCAUGUCUGCUAGGCUCAUUGUUCGUUCAUUCACUCAUUCCUUCACUCGCUCCUUCAUUCCUGUAACCGUUCACAAACACUCGGCACACCCCCAGGGCGCCUGGUUAGGUGGCUGGGAAUUCAGUGUGACCCCAGCCCAAGACCCCUACCCUAGAAGAGGCCUCCACCCGCUGUCCAGCAUGAGACAAGCACCAAACCAAGUCGCCUGUGGUUUACAAAAACUGUCACAGCUGACACUGGGCGGGCUCCUGGAGGGGGCACAGCAGGAGGGGUCCUCAGAUCGGGGCGGGGGGGGGGGCUGAGUUCUGCUCGGUGGGCGUGCGCUUAGCAGAGGGAGAGGGGCUGGGGGAAAGGGAGGCAGGGCCAGGGGCCAGAUCACAGAGGGCCUUAGAGACAAAAGUGGGGAGGUAUUCACGGGUCAGGUCCAGAAGAUCAUUGAGAUAGAUGGGGCAGGGUGAGGGAGGGGGCACUACUUCGGGAAGCUGCAGGCUGGCUGCAGGACACAAAUGUGGUUCAGACAGGCGAGGCCCAUUUUCUCCAUAGAGAUGGAGAAAAGUGGGGGGAACCUGAGAUGCUGAGGAGCAGGAUUUGGGCUCCAGACCAUGGGGGAGGGGGUGCUUUUUGCUCAGACAGGGAGGCUGGCGAGGGUGGGGGGGUCUGAAGUACAGUUUCGAAUGUGAUGCAUUUGAGAUUCAGGCAGAGUGGUCCAGCUGGCCGUGGGUGGUGCCAGGCAAGCUUGGGCAAGAGUGAGGGCUGGAUAUCACGAUGGAGAUGACCCCCCAGGGUGGGAGUGGACCUCCCGUCUCUGGAGCAGGUGACCACUCUCAGAGAAGUAGGGCCCCGAGCGGGUUAGAGUGAUGCCUUGCUGCUGCCCAAGCCCACCCCCGAGGCCAGCUGGAAAGAAAACAGACCCCAGAGACCCCCAUCCCAGGGGCCAGGUCUGGGCUCACUGCUCCCUCCCCUGCCUGCCCUUGGCACAGAGCCCUGUGCCAGCAUACAUUGAGUGCCAGCUGUGUACCAGCUGCCCUGCCCGGUGGGAAGGCCAGAGGCUCUAAACUCCAGGGUGGUCCUCCAGCAGAACCCUGCGGAAGGGCCCGAGCUAGACUUCUUGCCCCUUCGCCCACUCCCCACCCAAGGUGUGUCCUGCCUGGCCCCGCUGCCUUCCUCAUCUGCCAGGCUUCAGGAGAGGCUGCGCCUGGAGGCUGCCCUGCGCCCCAGUCCUCAGGGGCAGAGCAGUAGGGAACCAGAAAUAGCUGGGCCCUCGGGCCACACCUGCCAGCCCGGACGGCACAGCCACCCUAGUCAGCCUCUUCAGUUCUCCCAAGCAGCUCAGGAGCUGCUGCCCCCAGGAGGAAUGGAGGGAGGAGGGGCCCUCACAUUUCCUGGCAAAGGAAAAGAGACACUGAGAGCCCAGUACCCCAACACUGGACAGAGCAGGAGCCCCUCCAAGGGUCGGGGUCAUGCCAGGCUGGGCCUGGGCCUCCUGCAGCCCUGGACCUGGCCCCAAAGGACCCCAGAAAUGCAGCCUUCGACCUCGAAUCACAGCUGGGGCCAGGUGCAGAGCCACCUUGCACUCAGCCCCAUGGGCAAGGGAGCGGCUGCUCCCACUGCCGCCCUCCCCACGCACAGGGAGGUCCUGCCGCCCACAGCAGGGAGGCUCACGGGGCUGCAGACUGCCACCUGCCACCUCCACCACCUCCCGCCUUACAAACACCCAUCCACCCGCCAGCCUCGGGGAGACCCAAAACAGCUUCUGCUGAGCUCGGUGCCACCAAGGUGUCCAGAGAGCCAGCCCCCAGCACUGAUCAGCCCAGAGGGGUCCCAGGCCCAGGACAUCAGGCCCCAUGCUCCCCUGGCCUCACUGAGGCAACACCCCAAGGCCAGGUCUCCUCCCUACAGGAAGCAGCACCCAGCCCUUGCAGCGCCCACCCAGCCUUGGCUGUGCACCGGCCGCAGACAACCUACAGACCUCAUCCCAGCUCCCUUCUCCCUGAUGGGUGCCCAGUGGCCCGCACCCCCUUCUCAGGCCAAACCCUGGGCUUCCCGCUCCCCUGCAGACUGAGCAGGAUGGUCUGGGGUCUGUCUGCCUCCCCAUCUGCCAGGAAAGCCAGGUCUCUGUCCUGGGGCCCAGCACAGCUCUGGUGCAUGCCAGGCUCAUGGUCCUUGGGGAGUUGCGAGCUGGAAGCCCCACACUUCUCAGAAUAAACCUCCCCUGUGUGGCGAGCCUUGGGCCGUGGGGAAAACACUACGUCUGGGACCCCCUCCCGUGGAGGCUUAGGCCUCCCUGUUGGUCCAGGCACAGCGUCGAUGGCCAAGGACAUAAACGACUCACGGCUUUGUCCACAUGGCCUGCCUGGGAUCCACAGCCACACAGAGUGUCAGUGCACGUGGCACCAAGGCAAGGGGCUGCUGGGUCCCAGAGUGGGGACACAAUCAGCCAGGGAAACCCAGUGGCCUGCUGUGUCUCUACCUGCUUGGGAGGGGCAUUUCCUGGAAGAGAGACCCUCACCAGGCUCCACCAAGACUGGAGAUUCAAACUGGCCGACUGACCUUCUGGGUCCCCUGACGGAACUGUGUCUAAACCGAGUCAAUAGGCUGAGAGUGAGCAGCAGAGGGGAGCUGUGGGCUCACAGGACUAGGACUCAUUCACUUCUCGUUUCUCUACUGGAGGCAGGGCUCAAUUUUGCUUUCCAAAACCAGGCUGCAGUCUGGACAAUGGAGAACAAGGACCCUCUGGAUGAGGAGAGCUCGGCCCUGCCCAGAGGCCCCCAGGGGUGCCCAGGGAAUGAAGGAUCCCAAAGCUGCCACUGUCCAGGGAGCUGUGGCCACUUUUCCCAGUCGUAGAUUGGCCUGAAGGUGAGUCCAUGCGUCCUGCCUCCUCCAGAAAAGCCUCUGACCCUGUGCCAGACAAGCGCCGGCUCUGGAAAGGCAGCAGCGAAAACCACGGCGCCCUGUCCUCUGGCACAGGCUCCCAGACCCCUCCUCUGGCUGCUCAGCAGGAAGCUGAAGGCGGGAGCUUCAAAGAACUCUGCGCGGUCAGAAAGAGUCACUUGCAAGGAAGCAGCCGGAGGCUGAGGUGCGUGCGCAGGAGUCUGCCUGCAACACGAUUUACAAUGGCCAAUGCUCAGAAGUUUCCCAGACGCUCGGUGAUGGCUGCGGUGUCGCAUCCCACAUCCGGGAACAUGAGGCCGCCAUUAAACGUCAGGCUCCAGAAGAAAAUUCGAAGGACAGGAGGGAACUGUGGUGAAUCCAAGCCCCCAGGGGUGGGCUUCUGGUGGAGGGAGCAGGACAGCGAUGAGGUGGGAGGGGCCGGGCAGCGGGCCCUGGAGCACACAGAGCUCGAAGGUGCAGGUGACGAAGGCGGAUCUCAUUUCCUCUUCAUGCUUUUUCUGUAUUUUCCAAAGCAUCUCCUCCCUGAAAGUCUUGCUUUCACAGUCAGGAAAAAAGAAAUACCAGCGAGACUGCCACUGCCACGGAGCAGGUGUGAUGUCCCAGGGGAAGUGGUGGAUCUGAACACACUUUAAAGUGGGAAAGCCCCCGGGGUCCACCAGGCUGUGUGAACACACUCUGGCUCCCUCCCCCAGCCUCAUGGCCCAGAGACUGUAGCCUCCAUGGCCCCUCCAGCCCCAGCUCAAUAAGGACACAGACCCAUUCGUGCACUCCAGCCAGCCCAGAGCAUGAAGGCCAAGGCCUCAUUCUCCCCAGCCUUUUUGGGGGCAGGAGGGCACUGGCCAGGGUGUCCGAGCCAGCCUGCACCUUGGCUCCAAGCCCAGCUGUGCCUCAGCAGCCCCUGGCCAAGCAACAUCCUGGCUGCCAGCCCUGUCCACCCAGAGAGUACCAGGGAGGAUUUGCCGGCUCUCAGAGGCCCAGAGACCCAGGUGGGCGGCUGCUGCAGCUCCAUGAGAUGAGCAGCUCCAGGUGCACACACACUGUCCACCCUGCUGAGACCUUCCCACCUCUGAUACCUCAGGCAGUCGGGUCCAGCACUGUGUCCUGCCUACCCGGCAACCUCCUGGUCCCCUUGGUGAUUCUCCCCGAGCUGGGCCCCCUCCCCACCAACGAAGUGGAAAUCCUGCUGUGUGAGCUUGAGUUAGUGACUGAAUGUCUCUGAGCAUUGCUGUGCUGCUCUAUUGGCACCUUAGCACACAGUUGGCUGGGCUGGGAUCCAGGCUGAGUGGGGCACAGUGACAGGUGGGCCCUACUCAGCAUCACUGGCUCGGGAUCGUGGGUGGGGCUGUGGGGAUGGGGCAGCCCAAACCAGCCUCCCCACCUGUGAGCUCACUGAGCCGGCUGGCCACUGUGGGGGUGGCUGGACCAAGUUCUCCUGGCGUUGCAAAGCUCCAGUUCCUCCCAGGUGGAGACAUGGCCCCUUCCUCAGAGAACGUGAGCAGGUGGGUAGGGAGCCACACGCAGCCCAGCCAUGGGCCCCAGUGGGUAAGGGCUGGGGCGGCUCCCCCUGAGUUCUCCCCCUCAAUCCAUCUGUGCCCUGGGAGGAAAAAGGAGGCCACUGCUUGGAGCCCCCAAAAGAGAAAGGAGCUGCCACCACCACAGCCCCCACCCCACCUGACCUGUAGGAACUGCCUCUCUCAGGGGCAGCCAGGGGGCUCAGUGACCCAGCAGCCUCCACGAAAGCCCCCGGAGACAGCAGGCACCCCUGGAGAGCCCCCGGCACCAGGCCUGCCUCCACCACCCCAGCUCCUGCCGAGGGGCCCUCUGGAGUUCUCCUUUUGGUGCAUACCUCCUGGGGCCGCGGACACUCCUGAUGCCCCAGGGCCCCUGCCCCAGCUAUGACCCUUCCCAUCUGGCAUCCAUGACCCCAGCAGCAUCACAAGGCAGGCCACUUACAGAGCCCCAUGGGUGCACUGUCAGGACCAGGGAGGGGCCCAGGGUGUGGCAGGCCAGGUGCUACACCCCAAUGCUGCAAGUGCGGCUCGAAGCCCAAGUGCCUGGCACUCCCCCCCCUCCGGCUCCAGCCGGCACCUGGUCAGGGGGCCAGCCCCAGCCCUCCAGCCCCUCCCACAUCAGCCUCAUCUCCAUCACAUCAGAAGCAGCUCUUUCGCAUUCUCUCCCAUCCUCUAGCCUGUGGAAUGGGAUUAAGUAGCUGUAAAUGAAAUCCUGUUACCACGGAUACAUGAGGACUGGGGAGAGCUGAGUCAGGGUCCUGAGAGUUGCUACGUCUGCCAAGGAGGAGCCAGAGGAACCCUCUGCCCCACACACACACGGGCAGCCAGAGGCAGAGCUGCCGCUCAGCAGAGGGCCCAGCAAACCUGAAACCACGCUUCCUGGGGUCUUCCACCAGCUGGAUAGACCCCAGAAGCCCCUUCACAUCAGGAGACCCCUGACCUUCUGACCGUGCCCAGGUGCCAGGCCCAACCACACAUCUGAGAAGAAAACAUUCCUGAGAUGCAGGGAAGCCGCAAGUAUUGCCACCAAUAGGCCACUGGACAUCGAGAAGUGGCACCUAGAGGUCCAGACCCAGAGAUGACAAGCACCUCUCCAGGAUGCACAGCCCAGCAAUCACAAGACCCACUGACGAUCCCUGAGUCAGCCCAGGGUUCCCAUGGGUCUGAGCCAGCUGGACAGAACUGGAGGGGGAGCUGCAGCCCCAAAGCUAUCUUCCUAAUAAGUCUGUUUGUUCUGCCUCCCCUUGAACUGGGGCAGGCGCACGCCGACCAGCCCACAGCAGAGCCCCUGUUCUGGAGAAGCUGGCAGAGGCCCUUCUCCCAGGUGGGACCAGGGCAUCACACUCGACGGGGAAAUGAACCCAGAACCACAUGGCUGUCUGCCCGGAGGCCUCACUCACCCACAGGCAGAAUGUUGAUGCUCAGGAAAGGUGGUCCACUCUCCAGGUCAGGCCCUGGGUCCUCGGGCGAGGGAGCCAUCAGGGAGGGAUCGAAGGCUCUCGGCGGUGGCAGCAGCAGCUUGAUGAAGUUCAAAGGAACCGUCUUAAGAAACUGCUAGCCCCUUCUGCUGUGAUGGUGCUGGAGGCACCCGCCAGCCCUGGGCUACACUGCCCCAGGGGCCACAGGAGGAGCCUAUGGCACAGUGGGUGACCCUCAGCCCUUUCUCCAGCCCUCAGGUCCCACUGUGCUGUCACUCCCAGGUCCGCGGUCUCGGGCCCUCCAACCACCACUUGGUUUGUGCAGUGAAUCGAGGCCACUUUGGCCUCCCAGGCUGCCGUCUGCCCCUUGGCCACUUGGCUGGGCUCCAAGCCCCUCACUCUCCCCACCCCCCAAGAGGGCCCCAGGCUCCACCCGGCCUCCUUGUGGCCCCACCGGAGGCUCAGUCCCAGCCUGGCCUCUGCUCAGGCUCCUCUCCUGCUUGGAACCCUCCUCUCCACCUCCUUGUAUCCAUCCAACUCCUCCUUGCUCCCCCAGGCCAGCUCCUUCCAGAGACUUCCUUGGUACUGGCUCCCUCCUCUGAGCCUCCUUCCUGGGGGCCACAGAGAGACUGCAGAGGCCGGGGUGGGAGGCUUUAGCUGCUGGGCUCUGGAGCCCUCUGACAUGCCCAAGACAGAGCUCAAGACAGAGCUCCCAGGGCCUGGGCCUCGAUGGACACUGGGCCACGGGCACACCCUGAGCCGGCUCUGCCCAGGUAGGAAGAAUGCACGGCCAGGGGUGGGAAGGCUCAGGCUCCUGGUGGCACCUCCUCUCCCAAGGGCUCCUUGGAGUAGCCCCACCUCACAUCUCUCCUCAAGCCCAGGCCUUUCUGGCUCCCUCCAGUCCCCAGGAAGGAGGGCCCCUAGGUGGUCCGUCCCUCCCUCACUCUGAUACCCUUCAGCCCCCGGGCCCUCCACCUGGCCCAUC
rnacentral:lncRNA from 1 species